GCCAGGCGUGGUGGCACACGCCUGUAAUCCCAGCUACUCGGGAGGCUGAGGCAGGAGAAUUGCUUGAGCCCAGGAGGCGGAGGUUGCAGUGAGCUAGAUCAUGCCACUGCACUUCAGCCUGGCCGACAGAGUGAGACUCUGUCUCCA
rfam:Pan troglodytes isolate Yerkes chimp pedigree #C0471 (Clint) chromosome 1, whole genome shotgun sequence.